CAUGGCUCAGGAUGAACGCUAGCGGCAGGCUUAACACAUGCAAGUCGAGGGGUAACAGUUCUCUCCGGAGAUGCUGACGACCGGCGGACGGGUGAGUAACACGUAUGCAACCUACCUUUAACCGGAGGAUAGCUUCGGGAAACCGAAAUUAAUACUCCAUAAUAUCACGAUACUGCAUGGUAUUGUGAUUAAAGCUCAGGCGGUUAGAGAUGGGCAUGCGCAGCAUUAGCUAGUUGGUAGGGUAACGGCCUACCGAGGCGACGAUGCUUAGGGGGUCUGGGAGGAUGAUCCCCCACACUGGUACUGAGACACGGACCAGACUCCUACGGGAGGCAGCAGUGAGGAAUAUUGGGCAAUGGGCGCAAGCCUGACCCAGCCAUGCCGCGUGCAGGAUGCAGGUCCUACGGAUCGUAAACUGCUUUUAUACGGAAAGAAUUCUCCUGAUUUUUCGGGAGUUGACGGUACCGUAUGAAUAAGGACCGGCUAACUCCGUGCCAGCAGCCGCGGUAAUACGGAGGGUCCGAGCGUUAUCCGGAUUUACUGGGUUUAAAGGGUGCGUAGGCGGAAUAGUCAGUCAAUGGUGAAACCCUACAGCUUAACUGUAGAAUGGCCAUUGAUACUGCUAUUCUUGAGUAUAGUCGUGGGAAGUGGAAUGCGUAAUGUAGCGGUGAAAUGCAUAGAUAUUACGCAGAACACCGAUUGCGAAAGCAGCUUCCUAGCCUAUUACUGACGCUGAGGCACGAAAGCGUGGGGAGCGAACAGGAUUAGAUACCCUGGUAGUCCACGCUGUAAACGAUGCUCACUCGCUGUUGGCGAUACACUGUCAGCGGCUAAGCGAAAGCAUUAAGUGAGCCACCUGGGAAGUACGUCCGCAAGGAUGAAACUCAAAGGAAUUGACGGGGGCCCGCACGACCGGUGGAACAUGUGGUUCAAUUCGAUGAUACGCGAGGAACCUUACCUGGGCUUAAAUGUAACUUGACUUCCGCCGAAAGGUGGUUUUCCUUCGGGACAAGUUACAAGGUGCUGCACGGCUGUCGUCAGCUCGUGCCGUGAGGUAUCGGGUUAAGUCCCUUAACGAGCGCAACCCCUAUUGUUAGUUACCAGCAGCAGAGGCUGGGGACUCUAGCAAAACUGCCAGCGUAAGCUGGAGGAAGGUGGGGAUGACGUCAAGUCAGCAUGGCCCUUAUGCCCAGGGCUACACACGUGUUACAAUGGCCAGCACAAUGGGCAGCUACCACGCAAGUGGAUGCUAAUCCCCAAAGCUGGUCCCAGUUCGGAUCGGAGUCUGCAAUUCGACUUCGUGAAGGUGGAAUCGGUAGUAAUCGCACAUCAGCAACGGUGCGGUGAAUGCGUUCCCGGGCCUUGUACACACUGCCCGUCAAGCCAUGGAAGUCGGUAGUGCCUGAAGUCCGUAACCGUCUAGGAGCGGCCUAAGGCAAGACCGAUGACUGGGGCUAAGUCGUAACAAGGUAAC
rnacentral:rRNA from 1 species